rnacentral:rRNA from 1 species
UACAGAGGGUGCAAGCGUUGUUCGGAAUUAUUGGGCGUAAAGCGCGUGUAGGCGGCAUGGCAAGUCGGGUGUGAAAGCCCUCAGCUUAACUGAGGAAGUGCGCCCGAAACUGCCGUGCUUGAGUGCCGGAGAGGGUGGCGGAAUUCCCCAAGUAGAGGUGAAAUUCGUAGAUAUGGGGGAGGAACACCGGUGGCGAAGGCGGCCACCUGGACGGUAACUGACGCUGAGACGCGAAAGCGUGGGGAGCAAACAGG